AAGAAAUAAAUUAGUUUGAGGUUUGCAUAGAUUAUUAAAUAAAACCUCGCCAGAUGUUCUCUUAACCCGCAUUUCGCUCAUUUUGUGAAAGUCAGUGCAAGAAGAACACCGGUCGUGAAACUUGUAUAAAUAUCUUUAAAAUUUGUUCUGUUCACCAUCACUCGCGAAUCUUCAACCUAAAGAAGACUUUGUUAUUCUGCAGUCAUGAAGAGCAGUAGUAUGUUGAUGUUGUUCCUGGUGGUUCUGGUAGCUAUGCAGUGUUCUGCUGAACUACCCCCUCUUCCUCCAGAUGAUGCCGAUGACGACGUAAAAUACGCCGUAACAUACGAUGAUGAUGCAGGUACGAUGAUGCACGAGCAAGGUUUUAGGAGUCGACCCGCAAAAGGUGGUGUUUAGGUAGUACCCUUCUUCCUCAAUAAGGUUGCGCUAAAAUGGAGAAGAAAAAACACCCUCCAAAACUGAUAGACAACUUGUGUUUUGGUCUAUACCUCCUGUAAAUGAUGCCAGAGAGACACAAACGAAUGUCAGAGAGGCACAGCCAUAGCAACCUGAGGCUGGAGAUGGUGUGAUAUAAAAAGAACACGUAAAUUCCGGAAUGGUUUCUGGGACAGCGUCACCGAUCAUCCAACAUUUCUCUCGGCCGAUGUAUUUCUAAUUGGAUUUAGUGAUCAGUGAACAACAACAAAAACAACAAUGACAACAAUGAUAAUAAUGACGACGACAACUGUGGGAGUAGGAUUUGAGGCGGGACUGCACUACUUAUAGCUACAUGCGCCCUCUAUACAACCAACAAUGCCUUAGCGGUACCCAUUGAUCCCCAUGGUCCCCUUUUUCUUAUGUUAAUUGAUAGCUGAUUUGAUGUAAUAACCACCUGCCAGUAUGUGACCUAGCAGGGAGAUAUAAUCCCUCCAUGUCAAACUAGUACAGAUAGGCUUUAAUUGUAAUUCUAAACAAC